rnacentral:rRNA from 1 species
AUUGAACGCUGGCGGCAUGCCUAACACAUGCAAGUCGAACGGUAACAGGCCUUCGGGUGCUGCCGAGUGGUGGACGGGGGCGUAAUGCAUCGGAACGCGUCCAGAGCUAGUGUUUAGCGCAGCGUAAGCUGUGCUAACACCGCAUGAGACCUCAGGCGGCCUGCGGGGGACCACGCAGCAACUUCUGGCCUUGCGCCAUUGGAUCGGCCGAUGUCGGAUUAGCUAGUUGGUGGGGUAAAGGCCUACCAAGCCGACGAUCUGUAGCUGGUCUGAGAGGAUGAUCAGCCACACUGGGACUGAGACACGGCCCAGACUCCUACGGGAGGCAGCAGUGGGGAAUUUUGGACAAUGGGCGCAAGCCUGAUCCAGCCAUGCCGCGUGGGUGAAGAAGGCCUUCGGGUUGUAAAGCGCUUUUGUACGGAAAGAAAAGGAUCUGGCUAAUACCUGGGGGUGAUGACGGUACCGUAAGAAUAAGCACCGGCUAACUACGUG